GCGGGCAUAGCUCAGCGGUAGAGCGCCGGUCUGUGGAACCGGAGGUCGCAGGUUCGGAUCCUGCUGCCCGUACCA
rnacentral:tRNA from 1 species